UCUGGUCGCGUGGAAAUAGUGGGAAAUUUUGUGUAGUUCGGGAAUUUCCCCGACUGAUUAGCCAGCUGUGCAGAAUCGCUGAGUUUUCCGUGAAAAGUCGAAGAGACUGCGCGCUUUUCGAGGCAAUUUUCCCGAGGCAAUGCAUUUAGAAAAGUCGAACCAUCGGCUCCGUGUGCAGUGCUUACGGAAAAGCUCCCGAAGUCCCCGAAAAAGCUCGGGAGGGAAAGCUUGUGUCGCUUUGGCAGAUGCAACUUGGCAAGUCAAGCUGCUGCACCUACUACCUACGUUCAAAAUGGCGGCUCUGUCGGCGGAAUGCCGAUAAAUCAAAGUUCCUCAUUUUAAAAAUGCCAAGUGACCAACGCGCCAUCACACAGCAAAGGGCACAACAAUAGGGAUGGUGCUUUUCCUUGACAUUUAAGACACAUGACGGUAAGUGUCCCACUCAAUCAUCAACAAAGAAGUCGUGUUAAAGCGACUUAUCCUUUCAUGUAUACAUUUCCCUGAAAUCGCCUGCCUUUAAGGGGAUGCGAUCCGAGCCACUCAGCCACCGAAAAGUUAUUGCAACCCGAUCCUGUGUCGCUGGCUGUACAUAAAUACCAGAUACCAAAUACCAGUUCCAGUUUCCGCCGAUCGAGCCCAAGUUCAUUGGGAGUAGGGAGCGUGGAAUGGGCGAUGUCCGGCCUGACGUUUAUGAAAAGCCAUCGCAGCAUCAAAGCCAAUUAAGAUACUGGUGGACAUACAUACAAGCUCUAAAGGAAUACGCGGCUAAUUUCUGCGACAAAGCCGACAAACGAUCGAAUUCGAGUUGGGGCACAAGGAGAAGCGGCACUUUUGUCGCAAACACAGGCCGUAAAAUUAAGAACUCUGAUUGGUAACAAAUGUUUUUGUUCAUUCGAGUGAUAAAAACGUAGCGAACCGAAAAGAUAUAAAGUUCUCUUUAGUGUCUUGCCAGUGCGGCGAUGAUAAAAUAUUUAAAUGAGCGCCGAAAUGGUAAGGUUCUCGGCUUUGGCCCUGCUUGCGAUGGGAUCUGCUUGGAUCGAAGCGGACAUUUAGGAAAUCAGAGGGCCAUACCGAAAACCUUAAUGGCCGCGCACACGAACCUGGCCAACAAGCCCAAAAACAGUGGGCUUGAACAAGGCCCAAGGGCAAAAGUGUGAAACAUCGAGCGGCGUAACGCCAAUAGCAUUCGUCGAUAACCACUGUGUGUAGCCGAGUAAGUCGGUCGGCUGUCAUGAUUAAACAAAAGUCCAAUGCCAGCUAGGAUAUUAAAUUACAGCCCAUAACAGCUAAGGACAGAGGUAAGGACCCAUUCCGGCGAGCGCCUUUGGAACCAGCCGACGACGUCGACCAAGCCCAAACCCAAACCCAAAAUCCAAAAGCCAAAAGGCUUGCUGCAGAUACGAGAAACGGCCACGACAAAAUCAUAAAAGGCAUAAACAGUUGUAAAGACCCAAACCACAAAGGGCGUAGAAUCAAAAUUGAGCACUAAAACGUUAUCGAGGUCGGCACAGAUUAACUAGCCUUUUUGCUGUUGACUUCGGGAUGGACGAGGGACAUACGGACAAGUGGACAUACGGACCAGCGAACAAACGGACGACAUUCAGGCAGAUAUACAGCGAGGAGCGGAGGAUGGGAAAGGGGCAUGGACUGCAGACAGGUCGACCUGUCGUGUAAUCCGGUCCUGCCUGGCAAUUAUAACCAUAUAUAGCCCCCGCUGGCGACGGUGCCGCGUUGACGACCCACAACCGAGUUAUUGUCCAAAAAAUUGUCAUUCACAACUGUCUCGCCGAUAAGAAACAAUUAUCAGGGGCAAAAGGACGGCGGUAGGAGCGAUCACAUUGAAUGGCGCCAGUUUCACAAUGAAUCUCCACGGAAAGGACUAGUCUUACGUUAAGAUUUCGUCAUGCCCUUUUAAAAUGUAGGUUACAUAAAUAUGUUUAUGGGUAUUAUGUUAUGGAGAGCGGGAAUGGCUGCUACCGAGAUCUUACGACGUGGGAAUGAGAUUACAGGAGCCUAAUGGCAUUUGUAAUAUUGCUAGAUCAGCUUUUUAAUUUCGUUAAUCUUUUAAAUAAUUAACUGGAGUCCGCGUUUAUGUAAUCAGUAUCCCAAAAGUAUGCAAGCUUCGUAAGCAAAAGGAUUUUAUAUAGCUAUGCUAUCACUUAAAUAAGUUAAUCUGGUGCCUUAUAACACGGCGUUAACUUUUCCACCCCAAAUUUCAUUUUAUGCUGCACCAACAUCGAUUGUGGGGAGUGUCCAAGACGCACUCGUCCUAAUGGCAGCCCUUCAAGGAACAUAAUUUACUCCACGUGUCGGGGAUUACAUAUUAACUACGCCACUGUGCUCAUUUGGGGGGCGUGGCGCUACAAACGUCGGCUGUUAAUCUUUAGCUGUGUGGAUAGGCAUUUAUAUAGCUAUUUAAGGAAGUGUGUGCUCACGUUUGUUUAUAUUACAAUCCUGGUUGUUGCCCUUCUUUUGUUUUGCACAAAAAUAAGUAUUAAAUAUCACUUUAGGGGAUGCCACUUAAAUCAAAUAGAAGCAUAUUUGCCCACAUCAAAUCUAGGAAUAGAACUACUUUAAAAAUUAUAGUAAUUUGAUAACUUAUUGAUAAGAAUCGGAAAAAUUAUACCCUUCAAUAACUAAGGUUCCAGUUGAAAAAAUAUUCAAAAAUUUAAAAAAAUAUUAAGCCCUAUAGUUAUUAUUGCUCCUUUGAAAAAAUACUUGAAAAUAAAUGUACCUUA